rnacentral:misc_RNA from 1 species
GUUCCGUUCGGUUAGGGAAGAAGAGGUCUUAUUCAUGAUCGACACGAUCACGCAAUCUUCCUCCACCCCUGUUAAUAUUAGCAAGAUGGUGGUAGCUCUAGCUAAUUCGAUAAUUUGCAGGAUCGCCAUGGGAAAAAAAUAUCAGGGCGGAGAGCAUGAUAUUCUUUUAGAAUGUCAAGCCUUGUUGGAUACCUUCUUUGUGUCAGAUUACUUUCCAUGGAUGGGCUGGGUGGAUAAGCUCACCGGAGCUGUUAGACGCCUCGAGAAGAAUGUAAGUAUGUUUGAUAACUUAAUUGAAAAGGUCAUCGAGGAGCAUCUGGAUCCAACGAGUAAAAGAACGGAUUAUGAAGACAUAGUUGAUGUGCUGCUCCGGCUCCAACGGGAUGCUAGCCAUCUCACUAGAGAUGAUAUAAAGGGUGUUCUCACGGAUAUAUUUAUUGCAGGUACAGAUACAAUCUCGGCGACCCUAGUUUGGGCUAUGUCUGAGCUCAUAAGAAACCCGAGAGUGAUAAAGAAUGCGCAAGAUGAAGUAAGAGGUGUUGUCGGAAGCAAAGGGAGGGUAGAAGAAGGCGAUCUUCACAAUCUUCGCUACCUCAAAUCGGUAGUAAAGGAGACUCUCAGGUUGCGUUCUCCAGUACCAUUAUUGCUUCCGCGAGAGACUAUAAGUCAGUGCAAAAUUGGC